AGUGAACGCUGGCGGUAGGCCUAACACAUGCAAGUCGAACGGAAAGGCCCUUUCGGGGGUACUCGAGCGGCGAACGGGUGAGUAACACGUGAGUAAUCUGCCCCUGGCUUUGGGAUAGCCACCGGAAACGGUGAUUAAUACCGGAUACGACCACUUCUCGCAUGGGAUGGUGGUGGAAAGUUUUUCGGCCAGGGAUGUGCUCGCGGCCUAUCAGCUUGAUGGUGAGGUAAUGGCUCACCAUGGCUUCGACGGGUAGCCGGCCUGAGAGGGUGACCGGUCACACGGGGACUGGGGCACGGCCCAGACUCCUACGGGAGGCAGCAGUGGGGAAUAUUGGUCAAUGGGCGGAAGCCUGAUCCAGCAACGCCGCGAGAGGGAUGACGGCCUUCAGGUUGUAAACCUCUUUCAGCAGGGACGAAGCGCAAGUGACGGUACCUGCAGAAGAAGCACCGGCCAACUACGUGUCAGCCGCCGCCGUAA
rnacentral:rRNA from 1 species